AGGGCGCAUGGGGGAUGUCUUGGCAUCAGGAGGCGAUGAAGGGCGUGGAAGUCUGCGAAAUGCUCGGGGGAGCUGACAAACAAGUGAUGAUCCCGAGAUUCCCGAAUUAGCUCGUAGUGAAUACAUAGCUACGUUGCGGCCAACGCAGGGAACUGAAACAUCUCAGUACCUGCUGGAAGAGAAAGAAAAAUCGAUUUCGUUAGUAGCGGCGAGCGAAAGCGAAACAGCCCAAACCGCGGGGGUUUCCCCUGCGGGGUUGUAGGGCCUUUCACAUGAGAGUCACAAAAUUGCCGACUAGCAGAACGGCUUGGAAUGGCCGACCACAGAGGGUGACAGUCCCGUAAGCGAAAAUCGGCAGUCUCUCGAGAGGUACCUGAGUAGGUCGGGCCACGUGGAAUCCCGACUGAAUCUACGGGGACCAUCCCGUAAGGCUAAAUACUCCCUGAUGACCGAUAGCGAACUCAGUAUGGCGACUGAAAGAUGAGAAGAACCCCUGCUAGGGGAGGAAUGUGAACCUGAAACCAUGCGCUUACAAGCGGUCGGAGCACUAUGGCCCGCAAGGGCAAUGUGUGACGGCGUGCCUUUUGCAUAAUGAUCCGGCGAGUUACCGUCAGCGGCUCGGUUAAGGCCUUCAGGGCCGAAGCCUCAGGGAAACCGAGUCUGAAUAGGGCGACUANNCGUGGAGGACCGAACCCACUUGGGUUGAAAACCGAGGGGAUGACUUGUGGGGAGGACUGAAAGUGUAAUCAAACCCAGAGAUAUCUCGUUCUCUCCGAAAUAGCUUUAGGGCUAGCCUUGAGCAACUACGCGUUGGGGGUAGAGACACUGAAUUGGUUUGGGGCUCUUCCCAGAGUACCCUGCCGAACCAAACUCCGAAUACCAAUGCGACUAUCUCAGGAGUCAGUCCGCGAGGGAUAAGCUUCGCGGUCGAGAGGGAAACAACCCAGAUUGCCUGCUAAGGUCCCCAAGUCAUGCUCAGUCACUAAGGAAGUUGAAUUGCCGUGACAACCAGGAUGUUGGCUUAGAAGCAGCCACCAUUUAAAAAGUGCGUAACAGCUUACUGGUCGAGCAAUUCUGCGCCGAUAAUGAUCGGGAGUAAAGUAUGAUACCGAAGCCGCGGAUUAAGUUGCCUUCGGGCAACUUAGUGGUAGAAGAGCGCUGGUAGCCAGAUACAAGCGGUACCGUAAGGAGCCGUGUCGGGGCGACCAGGUGAUUAUGCCGGAAUGAGUAACGAUAAAACAGGUGAGAAUCCUGUUCGCCGAAAGCCUAAGGUUUCCUGGGGAAGGUAAUUCCGCCCAGGGUUAGCCGGUACCUUAGUCGAGGCCGAAAGGCGUAGACGAUGGAGAGCAGGUCAAUAUUCCUGCGCCACUGUCGUGGACUGAUGGAGGGACGGCGCAUUAAAGAUCAGCGGUACGACUAGAAAUGUCCGUGGAUCCUUCGGAGAUAGGGGAUAGGAAAAUCCGCCCCAUAUGUCAACGGAGGGGACCGACCGCGUUUAUGUUCGGGAAGUGAUCGGAAGUGCGUCCAAGAAAAGCUCCUAAAGGUUGAAACGACAUGACCGUACUAAAACUGACACAGGUAGGCGAGACGAGUAGUCUAAGGCGCUCGAGAGAACGGUGGUUAAGGAACUCUGCAAAAUGACCCCGUAAGUUCGCGAUAAGGGGUGCCUUUUGGGGUGAAAGCCCUGGGAGGCCGCAGUGAAUCGGCUCUAGCGACUGUUUAUCAAAAACACAGGUCUCUGCGAACACGUAAGUGGAUGUAUAGAGACUGACGCCUGCCCGGUGCCGGUAGGUUAAGGAAGAGGGUGAAAGCUCGCGACCGAAGCCCCGGUAAACGGCGGCCGUAACUAUGACGGUCCUAAGGUAGCGAAGUUCCUUGUCGGGUAAGUUCCGACCUGCAUGAAUGGCGUAACGACUGGAGCGCUGUCUCAACCACCGACUCGGUGAAAUUGUAGCCGUGGUGAAGAUGCCACGUACCCGCGGUUAGACGGAAAGACCCCGUGAACCUUCACUGUAGGCUGAUAUUGGGCUGAGGUAUGUCUUGUGUAGUAUAGGUGGGAGACUGUGAAGCGGAGGCGCCAGCUUUCGUGGAGUCAUCAGUGAAAUACCACCCUGGGGAUGCUUUAGUUCUAACACCGAUCCCGUGAAUCCGGGCGGUGGACAGUGUCAGUUGGGCAGUUUGGCUGGGGCGGUCUCCUCCCAAAAAGUAACGGAGGAGUCCAAAGGUACACUCAGCCUGGUUGGCAAUCAGGCUUAGAGCGCAAAGGUAGAAGUGUGCUUAACUGCGAGACUGAUCAGUCGAGCAGAUACGAAAGUAGGGCUUAGUGAUCCGGUGGUCCCGAAUGGAAGGGCCAUCGCUCAUCAGAUAAAAGGUACUCCGGGGAUAACAGGCUUAUCGCUUCCGAGCGUCCAUAGCGGCGAAGCGGUUUGGCACCUCGAUGUCGGCUCAUCACAUCCUGGGGGUGAAGAAGCUCCCAAGGGUUUGGCUGUUCGCCAAUGAAAGUGGUACGUGAGCUGGGUUCAGACCGUCGUGAGACAGGUCGGUCCCUAUCUGCCGUGGGCGUCCGAAACUUGAGGGGGUUCAACUUUAGUACGAGAGGAUUUAGUUGGACGUAGCUCUGGUGUACCAGUUGUCGCGCUAGCGGCACGGCUGGAUAGCUAACUACGGAAAGGAUAAACGCUGAAAGCAUCUAAGCGUGAAGCCCUCCCCGAGAUUAGGUUUCGUUCCCGUAAGGGUAAAGUCCCCUGGAAGACUACCAGGUCGAUAGGCCGGAUGUGUACGCAUGGUAACAUGCUUAGCUAACCGGUACUAAAGGACGAAUGCUUGGCCA
rnacentral:rRNA from 1 species